CGGCCUGCAGUCCGUGCCUCUCUGCCCGCGCGGGGACCACACAGUUGGAGAGGCUGCCGGGCACCGGCGCGGGCGAUGCUCAGCAUGGACCUCCGGCCGGCCAGCCUGGGCUUGUUUUCCCGGUAGUACUGGGUUCUGAGAGAGAGUAACUGCAUGGAAGGCCUUGAAGACUGGGCUUGGGCCUGCUGUACCCACAUGACUGCUUCUGCCACGUUCUACUGGCCAAGCUCUAUGGGCAGCUCAGACACAAGGGAAGAGACUCUGCUGCUUCCUGGGAGAAGCUGCAAGACCACAUUGCGAAGGAACAUGUUGUUGCUGCUCCCAUGUUACCUUCGUCAGUGACCUGAGAUGCAGACUGGAUCUAGGGAAUGGUGUUUCCUGUGUGAUGCCUUCCAGGAGUAUCUGCACCACGGGCAGUGCCAGGCCGAGGACAGAGGGCCUAAUGGAGGACACUCUACAACUCCAUCCUGCUGCUGGGGGGGCUUGGGGGCGCCUCCACGAGGGUCUUCAGAGGAAAGGCAUGUGUGUGGUCUGUGGCCUGCCAGCAGGAGAGCUGGGGGAGGCCGGCAUCUUGAGGCUGUUGGCAGCAAGUGCAGGCAGAGGCCUCGGGCCAGAGGGGAGGUGGCAGGGCUCAGGUGCCCUGUGCUUCCUCGGAGAAGGCACUUGGGAUGAAGGCUUAGUCCUGCCUGGUAAACCUGGAGGCCUGUGAACACUGGGGUUAGCCCCAACAAGGGAGGAGGUUCCCGCUGCCUCACUAAGAACAGCCUGCUGCUACACUCACCCUGACAGCUGCUCCGCUCCCAGUGAACCCCACCCCGAGAAGGCUCAUCGGGGCCACGGACCUCCCUCAGCGCUGCAUUCAGAAUCCCUCAGGAGUUGUAAACUUCCUGAUUUCUGGACCCAUCACCAGAGCCCAACGUCACGGGUAAGGGUUAGGGCCUGGAUGUCAGGAUUCAAUUUGGAGAAUUCCCCGGGGCAAUUCCACCAUUGCAGACACUGAAACGGAGCUGGGGCAGAAGAAUCACACCAGGUGGCUCGAGCUGAGCGGCUGGGAGUGUGGCAGUGAAGACACUGAGUGUCCGUCAGGGAAGAUGGCUCUGGGUACAACAGCGUGCCCAGCCCCUUAGAUAUUCUCUGCACGGAAGUGGCCCCACCCUGAAGCGCGUGUGCAGUGACUGUUCAUGCUUCUGUGUGUGUGCAGGAGUAGUUUGGUUGGAGUGUGCAUAUGCGAAUGUGUGUGUAUGGAAGUCUAUCUAUCUGUAAUGUAAAGCAGUUGCGUAAUGCAAAUGUGUGUGUAUGGACAUCUAUCUGUAAUGCAAAGCAGUUGCGUAAUGCAAAUGUGUGUGUAUGGAUGUCUAUCUAUCUGUAAUGUAAAGUUCCCAAGUAUUGUGUAUAUCAUUGUUUGAGUUUUUAAAUUCUAAGAUAAUUUCUAGAGAAAAAGAUGUACGGGUGAUUCCUGGUGAAAAGCAGGGACCGUGGGCCUCAUAUUGAGACACAUUUCACGCUGUUUAGAUUGUAAUGGCAAUUAUGUAUGACUUUUGUACGUUUUUUAAAAAGCCAAUAAAAUACAUUUUAAAAUGUGGA
rnacentral:lncRNA from 10 species